rnacentral:rRNA from 1 species
GGAGAGGGGAGUGAAAUAGAUCCUGAAACCGUAUGCGUACAAGCAGUGGGAGCCCACUUUGUUGGGUGACUGCGUACCUUUUGUAUAAUGGGUCAGCGACUUAUUUUCAGUGGCGAGCUUAACCGAAUAGGGGAGGCGUAGCGAAAGCGAGUCUUAAUAGGGCGUCUAGUCGCUGGGAAUAGACCCGAAACCGGGCGAUCUAUCCAUGGGCAGGUUGAAGGUUGGGUAACACUAACUGGAGGACCGAACCGACUACCGUUGAAAAGUUAGCGGAUGACCUGUGGAUCGGAGUGAAAGGCUAAUCAAGCUCGGAGAUAGCUGGUUCUCCUCGAAAGCUAUUUAGGUAGCGCCUCAUGUAUCACUGUAGGGGGUAGAGCACUGUUUCGGCUAGGGGGUCAUCCCGACUUACCAAACCGAUGCAAACUCCGAAUACCUACAAGUGCCGAGCAUGGGAGACACACGGCGGGUGCUAACGUCCGUCGUGAAAAGGGAAACAACCCAGACCGUCAGCUA